CUGCCGGCGACCGGCGCACGGGUGAGUAACACGUAUGGAACCUGCCCGCAGCAGGGGGAUAAGCGGAAGAAAUCCCGCCUAAUACAACAUAAUGCCGGGAGGGGACAUCCCCUGCCGGUCAAAGGGGGCGACCCCGGUCAUGGAUGGGCAUGCGGCGCAUUAGGUAGUUGGUGGGGCAACGGCCCACCAAGCCGACGAUGCGUAGGGGUUCUGAGAGGAAGGUCCCCCACAUUGGAACUGAGACACGGUCCAAACUCCUACGGAAGGCAGCAG
rnacentral:rRNA from 1 species